GCAUAACGCGAAGAACCUUACCUAGGCUUGACAUGCAUCUCUAAGCACGUGAAAGCGUGUGACCCUUCGGGGAAUUUGCACAGGUGCUGCAUGGCCGUCGUCAGCUCGUGUCGUGAGAUGUUGGGUUAAGUCCCGCAACGAGCGCAACCCUUGUGACUAGUUGCCAGCACGUUAUGGUGGGAACUCUAGUCAGACUGCCCAGAUCAACUGGGAGGAAGGUGGGGACGACGUCAGGUCAGUAUGGCCCUUACGCCUAGGGCUGCACACGUACUACAAUGCCCAGCACAAUGAGAACCGAGACCGCGAGGUGGAGGGAAUCUAAAAAACUGGGCCCAGUUCGGAUUGGAGGCUGCAACUCGCCUCCAUGAAGUUGGAAUCGCUAGUAAUGGCGCAUCAGCUACGGCGCCGUGAAUACGUUCCCGGGUCUUGUACACACCG
rnacentral:rRNA from 1 species